CUCAGCGAUUUCUCUCUGCAAAGUGCCAUGCUGCAGGAGGUGCUGCUGGGAUUCAAAGAGACGCUGCGACGGGGGCUGGGGAGCGACACAGCCAUCCCGAUGAUGAUUAAUUUCUGGGAAACAUCCUCAGCAGAAUUAUUUGAAGGUGUUGCACCAGACAGUAAAGGCACAGAGGCAGUGGCUUGUGGGAAAGAGGGUAAGUUUCAUUACUAAUCCUGCUCUUAAAAAGAGGGGUCUUUUUAGAAAACUAGUUUAACG